GCUGGAGGAAAAAGGAAUACAUAAUAGAUGUAACCUAUGUGAAUGAGAGGACUGAGAUUCUCAGGGGCAUGGAGGUGUACAGUGUAUGGUGGUGUACAGGGUAUAGAGGUGUACAGGGUAUGGUGAUGUAUAGGGUAUGGUGGUGUACAGGGUAUGGUGGUGUACAGGGUAUGGUGGUGUACAGGGUAUAGUGAUGUACAGGGUAUGGUGUUGUACAGGGCAUGGUGGUGUACAGGGUAUGGAGGUGUACAGGGUAUGGAGGUGUACAGGGUAUGGUGAUGUAAAGGGUAUGGUGGUAUACAGGGUAUGGUGGUGUACAGGGUAUGGAGGUGUACAGGGUAUGGAGGUGUACAGGGUAUGGUGGUGUAAGAGGUAUGUGGUAUACAAGGUGUGGUGGUGUACAGGGUAUGGUGGUGUACAGUGUAUGGAGGUGUACAGGGUAGGGUGGUGUACAGGGUAUGGUGGUGUACAGGGUAUGGUGGUGUACAGGGUAUGAUGGUGUACAGUGUAUGUUGAUGUACAGUGUAUGUUGAUGUACACGGUAUGAUGGUGUACAGGGAAUGGUGGUAUACAGGGCAUGGUGGUG
ensembl:lncRNA